UACCGCGGGGAGCCAGGGGCAGGUUUCCGUGUUAAGGCAGCUUUGAGGAACGGGACAGCUGGAAUGAAAUUGCCAGGUCGGAAGCAGUGAGGGGUGGUGAGGGUAUUGGGAUGUUCCUGUGGCACAAAGCGAUGGUGAAGGAUGCACUUCUCCCUAGGGGGAACCGUGCUGCUGAUAUCGGGGUGUGCCACGUGUAGAGUGUCCCUCCCAAGGGAGGGACCGAGCAGGGCAUUUCUGCCUGGGAAGAGAUAAAAUGCACUAUCCCUAAGGUCUGGAGGUGCACUAGAAGUUAAAGAUCGAGUGUUUUGCUCUGGCUUCAUCGCCUGGUUCUGUUCUCUUGAAGUGCUGAGAAGCACGAACUCUGAUGGGAGGUUCUCCACAUGAUGCAGGAGAUUUGUAUACCUGUCCUCCAGUGUGUACCUGGUACAAUGGUUGUGUCCUCAUCUGUAAGAGCCAGGCUAUGUCUUGCCAUGGACAAGACUGCUGACUAUAUUUUCUCACUACCCUGUGAGUCUAUUUUGAAAGCUCUGGCAUAAAAGUGUUCUGUAACUUAAGCACCAAGUACAAGAAAUGUGUACAAAUUACCAGGUCAGCUGCCGAGGAACCUUCUGAAGGGCAUCUUGAAAUACUUGCUUUUAGAGCUCCAAACAAAGGGUCAUGGGAAAUGAGGGGAAAUACGUCCCGGUUGCCAUGGGAUUUGAUGUGUCCUGGGAACUGGGUAUAACCUUUACAGAGCCUGGUAGAGGAUUUCAGAGAGAAAUGCUGCUUCUCCUGUAGUGCUCUGUGUGCCGUUCUUCACAAGAGAUCAUUUCUGAAGGCAAAAUGCUUGAAUGCAGUAUUUCUGUCAGGCUCAACAUUGCCCCAAAUGCUGAAAGGUUGAUUUCCUUUAGGAAAAGUAAGCUAAAUGUGUAUCCCUGCUUCUUCCUUCUCUCUUCGAAACUAAUCACCUGCAUCAUUUCAUGCAGCCUACGUUAACUUCUGCAAUACUCAAACAUAUAUGUCUCUGAAUAAGGAUUUUCUCUUCAAUGGGGACCUUAAGCACUGCUGAUUUAUCACCUCAGUAAGAUUUUUACAGUUUUUAUUGCUUUUGCCUUUUACCUGUGUGCAAGUGGUGGUUGGUAGAAGUUGACUCCUUAUAUCUAAAGAGGCAGCAAAACCUGGGUCAGGAAUAAAUCUACAUCCUCUGAAUGGAUGCAUUUUGUAAGAAUGGUUCAUAAGCUCCCAUGUCCUUGAUCCCUUCAGCCCCAGUGGUCCUCAGUUCCUCUACAAACAUGGGACUGGAAGGGUACCAGUCGUGCAAUGGCACAGGCAUAAUGGGGGACAUCAUCUGCAUUGUGGUUGAGUGGCAGGUGCGUUUCCAGUAACAGCACUGGGGAAAGGACAGGGUGCAAAGAUUUUAAAUGCUGCUUUUAGAGCCGUAUUGCCUCCCCUGGCUAAAACUAGGCACUGCUGCCUGUAGAAGCAAGGACGCUCGUUUUGAUUCAAAGCUCCAGUGCUAAUUCAAGAUGGUAGUUCACAUUGCCUUCUGUACUUGUGCUGUUCUACCUGUAAAAGGGAAGUGCUAAUAACCCUGACUUGCAGCCAGAGAUUUUGUAAAGAUCAGUUGGCAUUUUUGGCACAUUAGCAAUUAUUCUUUCUUAAAAAUAAAAAUAUUUUAGUAGAAGUGAAAUACAAUCCUUGUAAGUUUAGUGUCUUAAAAUAUAUUAUUGAAUCUCAGUUGGAGGAAAUGUAGCUGAUAAACAUUAACAGACCACAAAAUAAGGCCUAUUAAGGAUUUUUGCUUCAGUUUGUAUUGGUUAAUUAUUAGGCAGCGCCCCUCCCUUCUUACCAUCACUCAAAUAAUUGGGCAGCAGCAGGGUAUCAAUAUUAUAAGGUAAUGCCAUGGCACUAAGCUUUGUUUUGCUGAAAAAGGGAGAGCACAGCCAUGCCAAGCCAUGCCAGUCCCUGCAGUGGGGACUGAAAGCAGCUGAGGUGACAGCAGAGGAGAGAGAUUUCAGUUCCUUUUCUGCACAGCUUGUGCUUCCUUGCUGCGUGUGAGAACUGUUAUGCACGCAGGUAAACCCAGAUACCAAACCAUGGCUAAGAUAUUAAGGAAAAGUUUAUUCCAAAGUUGGAAACCCUAAGUACACCGCUAAAAUCACACAGUGGGUGAAAGAACACCCCAGGCCUGUUUUCUGGUGCUUUUAUAACAAUAACUUUCGCAUGCACAUAACUUCAAGACUGUGUUCUCCCCUGUUCUUUUAUGGAUCCUCUUUCUCUCAGCAAGGACCUCACAGCGUAUUAUCUUUACACAGGAAUCCUAAUUCUCAAAACAGGCAGAUAAUAAACAUGCAUGGGUGUAAUAAAUGGGAUUUUCCUGUACUGAUCUUUUCCCAGGCCUAGUUUUCCUAGCAGUGAAGACUUCCUUGAGCAAGAACUCUUUAUCCUCCUCAAAUAAAUCUUCUGCAUAUACCUUCCUGUCCCUACACCACAGAUGCUGUUACCCGCAGUGCAGGCUGCAUAGUGGGCAUUAAACACUGCCUUUAAUUUCUGGCAGCACAUUAUUGUGGCUAGGAUGAUGAGAGACCAGAAGAUCAUACAAUUUUUGUUAAAUAACAGCAUCAAUCUUUCAUUUCCCUAUGCUCUGUAGAGGAAGACUGUGCAGAAACUCUGUGUGUAUCACACCUGAGAAUGGUUUAAAUGGGUGAAAUUUUGUUAAGACAGACUUAAUUUUUGCUGUUAGUGAAAAAAUAAAUAACAUUGAUAAAGAAUUGAAAUCAAGGCAGAACUUAUAUUCGAUAAAAGUAUGAAAGUGGCGUAGACUGCACUAGAAAAAUAAAUUCUCUCUGUUCUUCUGUGUGAACUGGGAAUUUUGUCUUUAUUAGAGAGGAUCCAAAAUUAGUGAACAAGGGUGGUGAGUGAUACUGUUGACUUUAUUUUAUAUUGUCUUUUACAUUUUGAUUAAUAUUUAAUUUUUUUACUUCUGACAAUCAUUUGUUGUUAUGCUAUCGUUUUGCUUUUGUAGGUUUUUUUUAUAAUCUUCAAAUACAGUGUCUUCGUGAACUUGCUUAGGAGCAAUUCAAACACUUAGUGGAGAUUUUCUUUAUGGUGAUUUUAGGCCACUGUUUAGUUAACAUACAUUUUCUUAGUGUGAACUGGAACAUCUCAAUGACCUUAAGGAUUUUUUCCAACCUGAAUGAUUCUAUGAAACACUGAAUGUUGCUUAGAGCAUGAGUAGGGAUUGUGCUGUCUUUAUUGACCUUGACCUAACUCUUUGUGAUCUGAACUUCUCUGUGCCACUAACUUCCUUUUUUGUAACUGUUUCAGAGUCGGUUCCCUUUUCUGUAUUCCUGAAAGAGCUCUGUGAAAAGCCUCAUGUGACAAAUCAGCAUGUUUCUGACUCUGUUUCCCAGAGUUUAUUUAGCUUUGAAGCUGUUAUCUAAAUCCAUUGAAGUUCCUUCAGUGUUUUUAACAUAUUAAUUCUGUUUAAUUCUCUGUGUCUUUGGAAUGCUUCUUUCAAAAGCACCUGUAGUUUUUCUAAACUGAUUUUUCAGAACUUUGCCAUUAAGACAUUCAGGGCCUCUGUAUCACCCUGGAUAGCUUGUAACAUACUUUGUAAGGUCUCUUUUUACCAAGAAGAAUUCUUGUGUGUCACAGAUUCCUUUGCACCUGUUGGAAAUCUGUAGGAAAAUUCCAGCAGAUUCUCAUAUUUUCAUUCAGGCUUGACUCUACUGGGGGCUGGUAUGAGAGGAGGUGGGGAGCAGAAGGGCAGGAAGUGAGGUUUGCAGCUGCCUGACUGGGCCCUGCAGUGUCUCACUGAAUCCCAUUGCAGAGAGAAAUGGGCUGGCAGGGAUGUCAUGGUGGAGUCCAGGAUGGCCUUGACCUGACAAGUUAGCAGAACUGCUGUGCUCAGUGGAAGGAUGGGGAAGAAACUUGUACAGCUUUUUAGUCGCAAAUUCUCUAUGCAAAAUCUUUACAUGAGAUAUGGUGUUAAUUUGGAUUCACAGUACUUAUGUUUUAUGAACAUAUUUACAUGAAACCUUGUUUUUUGUGUGGAAUAAGUGGGGGAGCUGACUUUGUUAAGUCUUGUGAAAGAGAAGCCUGAGAUGGUACAGUCUUUAGAUAUAAAAAUAUUCUUGAAUAAGAGGUAUGUCUUACACUUCUAGGGUAUAUGGGACAAGAAAUAAUAUAUCUUUAAAAUGUUAUGUGAAACAGUCAGGUUAUACAUUAGACAAAACUUUACAGAGGACAGUGAAAGACUGGAAUAAAUGUCCUCAGCAAAAUACAGGGUCCAUAUCAUUGAAAAGUUUCAAGCAUUGUUCAUCAGCCAUCAGUCAGGAAUCAUUACAGUUGGACUCAAUAAUCUUAAGGGUCUUUUCAAAUCUAAAUGAUUCCAUGAUUUGGUUAGAGUUGCUUUUGAGAGGAGGGGAAGAGAACCUAUAUGACCUGCUAAAAUCCCUUAUGGCCCUUUCUUUUGUGCCUGAAAAUCACUGGCCUAAUGUAUUGACUAUUGAAGGUGGGAAGUUUUUGCCCAUUUGAAAGGUUCUCUUGAUGGUGAAGUAAGCAGCUCGCUUCUGUGAAUGACCUUUACCAUUACAAACAGCCUCUUUGAUUCCAGUUGCUGCACUUAAAUGAGAGAAACGGUGUAUAUCAGGGUGGAACACCAGAGCACAGUGGCUCAGUGUCAGUGUCAGCUUUUGCUUUCUAAUACACUUUUUAGAUAUUAGGUGAACUACCUUUUUUAAGUGUUUGAUUUCUUGUUUGUUUUUUUCUUUUUUUCUUUUUUAUUUCAGUUAGAGUGUUGAAACUCACUGUUUAAGUGGUGUUUGUGUGUUUUUUCCUUUCUUUGUGUUUAGUUUUCUCCAGCUCAUAGUACUGUCUUCAGCCUACUCAUACAAAUGUCUUUAUGUGAAAUUCUUGGCUGUGCAGAAACCCUGAUGAGAUCAGUGUAGUGCUGAGCAGUUAUGCAUAUGCUACAGUAGAUCUUUGCCCCAAGUGGGAAUUCUACCUUUGCCCCUAAAUUUUCUCUUGCCUUGGCUCUAAUCGGGACUAUCUCUGCAGAUAGCAGCAAAGCUUCUGUUACUUGAUUACAACGAACCUGUAACCUUUAGUCUUACAGCUUGAAGCCACUCCCUAUUAUCUUGUAUUUACGUGCCUUUGUAAAAAGUCCCUCUCCAGCUCUCUUCUAGCCAGUCUCCUUUAGGUACUGAAAGGGAGCAUACAGGAAAGACUACAGACUAAUAUGGUCUUGCAUCAAACUUCAGUGAAAAGACGUUGUACAGCUAACAGAUAUAAAGCAUUCUACUUUCUGGGAAGGAAAAGGGGCUUUGUUUUCUGAAGUGAGUGGAAAACUCUUGUUUUAGCAAUCACAAAGGAGUCAGAGCUUUCUGCUAUACGAAUGCUGAACAGACAUUGUUAAAACCUAAAGUUACACUAGAAAAAAAUCAUGGAACACAAAUUGCAAAUAGUUGUACCUGCUUUAAAGUUCAUUAACUUCUCCACUGAGCUUUUGGAUAAAGCUAGAAUUUUAUAAUAAAAUUCUUAAUUUCAUUUCUAUCUGUCUGAUAUUUUUUUUCUAGAGAUGGAGAGGAAACAGACUUGAUCCUGUAAAACCUUUUUCCUGUUCUACACUGGUACAGAACAGACACUUCUGAAAGAUUUAACUGGAACUAGAAUAAUGAAUACACCAACACACGGGGUAUUUAUUGAGGUUUUUUUAAGAACUCAAAUCCCAGCUUUGAAUCCCAACAAUGUGAAAUAGAAAUAUAAAUGUAACAUUUCUCACAUCCAAACAGGUGUGCUGAGCUUGGUCUGUAAUGUGUGUCUUUCUUAUAUGGGUCAGAGUGAGCAUUCAAUUGUACAUACAAAAGACACUACUCCCAGACUACUGAGGUCAGGAACUUAUGUGGAGCCUUAGGUUCAAUUCCCUGUGCCAAGCCUUGUCAUACAUGCAAUUUGCACUUUCAUCUGUCUUAUCAUUGAUGCUACAGAUUGUCAGUGUAUUCUGAAAUUAAGGCCUCUCCCUUUUGGUUUGAUCAGAAAAUCUUCCUUGAACCUGAGUAACCUUUCUUAGCAAAAAUUUAUUUUUCUUCAAGAAAUUUCAAUAACCUGACACUUCCCAAGAGCAAAGGUAUUUCCUUAAGAAUUUUUUUAUAAUUUUCUAAGUCAAGUUGGUCCUGAUCAGUUUUCUCUUCACAGCUGGUUCCUUAGUGUCUUCAGUUCUAACUUUGUCAUUUAGUAGUAAUAGAUGUUAUUUUUUUUCUCCUGAAGCCUAGGAUAAAGUUAUUACAGGAAAGAAACUUUCAAGUCCUGCAUGGAUUUUAGAGUUCUGUGCUCUAUUCCCUCCUCUCUGAUACUCUGUUCCAUCCAUGCUUCCCAAGGGUUCUUGUUUGUAUGCCUGCAGCAUCUUUGUGAAACAUGAAAGUGCUACUCUUCCCAUUCUGCAAAUGGAGAAAAGAAAUAAAGAACUUCAGCAAGUACUUUUAUUGUAGGUGAAACGAGCAGAGGUGAUCACUGACCUCAUGAGUCAGGUAAUCACCUCCAUGCAAUGAUAUGUGAACACACCAGCACUGACUCUGGUUCAUACAGGUGCAGCAGUACUGUGCCAUGUGUGUUCCCUGGCUUGAGAAUCUGCAGCUCAGAGCACUCUGCAUUGUUCUCUGCUGUGAGGUGAAAUAUGCCCUGAAUGACUUGUCCAAGAUCACACAGGAAGACACUGGCAGAACAGGAACAUAAUGUGAGUUUUCUCUUAAGCAGCAAGCACACCUGCUUUAAUUUUGUUUCUAGGCUACAUAAAUUUUAAGUGAAUAAAAAUUAUGUGCAUAUGGAAAAACUUCUUCCAUAUUUUUUUGAAAGUAGGUUAAUUCCUAUAAUAAGAUAGGCUUGGAGAGGAUUGAUUUUGCAAUAGGAUUAGUUAUGCUAAGGAAACUGUUUUUUGCAUUGGGAAAUGCAAAUAAAAUUUUGAUAGAUCAGACUUCCGUCUUGGUUUGCUUUACUGAAGUUAGAGUAGGAAUGCAUCCAUCAGUAGGACUGUAUCGAUCUGUCCUAUUGUGUCAUAGACUGGAAGGAAUGUAGGAAUUUAUUAAUAUUCUUCUAAUACAUCAAAGAAUGUAUUAGAAGAAUAUUAAUAAAAGGUUUAAUGAAAAAAGGGGUUUAUUACUAUUAAGAAAUGGUGCAUUCUUUUUGUCAGUGUUAAUCUGGUUCUUGAUUCCCCCCUCCCCCCUCUUUGCUGUUACUACUUCAUGGUCCUGUUGUGCCCAACUUACUGUGCUACAUGUUCCCUGGUUUGCUGAAACCUGAUAAUCUAGUAAUUAUGCUUUCACACUCACUAAUUAAUUUCAUUUUUUGUAGGUAUCCUAUGGAACAUGCUUGAUGACACACAGUGACAUCUGUUCAUACAGAGGAGAGAUUUCAUCACUGCAGAUCUUGGAGUCUUCCCUGGCAAGUGCUCCAGCCAUACCACCCAAGUGACAGACGACAAAGGCAGGGACUGAGAGAAUGCAGAACCACCCACUGUACAAGAAGAUCAGGUUCAAGAACAACUAAGGCAUCUGAAGGUGUACAAGUUCAUGGGACCUGAUAACAUACAUGCGUGGGUCCUGAGGGAACUGGUGGAGGAAGUGACUAAGCUGCUAUUCAUCAUAUUUGAGAAGUCAUGGCAGUCUGGUGAAGUUCCCACUGACUAGAAAAGGGGAAAUACAACCCCCGUUUUAAGAAGGAAAUAAGAAAGACCCAGGGAAAUAAAGACUGGUCACUAUCACUUCAUUGUCAGGAAAGACAAUGGAGCAGAUCCUUCUGGAAACUAUGAUAAAGCACAUGGAAAAUAGGGAGGUGAUUGGUGACAGCCAACAUGGGAAUCAAAUCGUACCUGACAAAUUGGUGGCUUUGUAUGACAGGUUUACAGUGAUGGUGGAUGAGGGAAGAGUUACUGGCAUCAUCUACAUGGACUGGUGUAAGACAUAUGACACUGUCUGGCACAGUGUCACACAUCAUUGUCUCUAAACUGGAGAAACAUGGAUUUGAUAGGUAGAUCACUUGGUGGAUGAGGAGUUGACUGGAUGGUUGCACUCAAAGAGUUGUGGUCAAAGUUCAAUGUCCAAGUGGAGACCAGCAAUGAGUGUUAUUCCUCAGGGGUCUGUAUUUGGACUGGCACUGUUUAACAUCUUUGUCACUGACAUGGACAGUGGUGUUGAGUGCACUCUCAGCAAGUUGGCCGAUGAUAUCAAGUUGUGUGAUGCAGUCAACACCCAGGAGGGAAGGGAUGCCAUCCAGAGAGACCUUGGCAGACUUGAGAGGCAGACCUGUGUGAACCUCAUGAAGUUCCACAAAGCCAAGUGCAAGGACCUGCAUGUGGAUUGGGGUAAUUCCAAACACAAAUACAGGCUGAUGGAAGAAUGGAUUGAAAGCAACCUAGAGGAGGACUUGGGGUGUUGAUGAAUGAGAAGCUUGACAUGACCCAGCAAUGUGCACUUUCAGCCCAGAAAGCCAACUGUGUCCUGUGCUGCAUUAAAAGCAGCAUGGCCAGCAGGUUGAGGGAGGUGAUUUUACCCCUUUACUCUGCUCUGAGGUACUGUGUGUUCCUGAUUUGCUGGGCAACUAGUUAAGUGAUGAGUGCGCGUGGAAGAAAUUAUUUCAUUUCUCCAUCAUGGCUGGGAAGUCACCAGGAUACUUUUGUGAAGGACAUCUAGUCAGCUCUGCUCACCUUAUGAAGCACUGUCCAAGUGCAGGCCAGACACUGGUGUUCCCAGAGAAGAAUGUGCCUAAAACAGAAGAGCUGGUCACUUGGGAAGAAUUGCCUUUUGUAGUAGCUGACAGUCUUAGAGCCCGUUUGUGUCCCAAUGGCUCAAGCUCCAUCAUUUUUUGAUCCGUGAAGAAGGAAAGGUGUAUGGACCUGACUCUGUGACUCUUAUAUUACAAGUGAGCAGCAUAAGAGCAUUGACCCAAACCCCAUUUCCUAGUUCAUGCCUCACCUUCCACAUCUCCAGACCUUUUCAUAAGAGACUGUGAGCAUUCAAAGACCUAAGCAGUUGCUGAAGAUUAAUUUCCUCCUUCAAAGCGCACUGAGACGACUACACUAAGAUGUUACCAUCCUCAGCGGCCGUGUGACAAUACCAGUGAUGCACAGCAGAUCGGAGUAACUGGGAACAGGUGUAUGUGAUUCCUGCACUUGCCUGAAGGGCCCAAGAGACCUGACCUGGUUCCCAAUUUAGGACGGUACAAGCCUUUUAAGGGUUAAAUCUAGACAGGUGUUUCUGUCCCAGUUCCUGGGGAGAGUUUGCAUUCCUUGUUUAAAGAGAUUAAUAUAUGCUAAGUACUGUCUGGUUCAGUUCCCAUCGUAUUUCAGAAGCAAUUCAAACAUUUCCCUGCAUAUUAUCUUCAAGCAAUGGAGGAUAUUCAGAUGGGCUCCAAGGUUAUGCAGCUUUAAUGGAGAAAGAAGUUCCUCGAAAAAAAUGCAUUUGGUAUCUUUAUAUUGCUCUGUCAAGGCAGGAGUUUCCUCCAUACCAUAGCCCUACUCUAAAUAGCCAGCAGUUUCUGUGAGCUAGAAGUUAACUCAGCAGCUUUCCAUAAUUGUGUUUUGUAAAUAGUUCUGGCUCUCUGUUCUGGAAAGCAGCCUGAGUCCAAAUACAACAAAGAUAGAAGAGCCUUUUGGGGUUUUUUUGGGUGGGUGUUUUUGGUGGGGUC